CCGCCACCGGAGCCCGCCCCUCCGCGCUGCCCCUCGCCGGGUCUCGCCAGCCCGUCCGCCCGCCCGCCGUCCCCCCGCCGCCCGGGGAGCCCCGCGGGGCGCUGAGCGCCCGCCGGCGAAAGUUAGACCAGCGGCCGACGGGCACCUACCCGCUAACUGCAAUGUCUCCUCCGGGCGCGGGGUGCUAAGACGAGGUGAAAUCCCUUUAGUGGUCAUGAGGCGGCUUCAGAGACAAACAACACAAUGCGAGUGCAAAUAACAAAAGGAAAAAAAAAAAAAGAACACGAGAGGGAGAGGGAGACCAGGAACAAUGGGGGAGGAGAGGCUCGCCGCGCCUGGCCGCCGCCGGCACCCUGGCAGAAGCAGGAGCAGGAGGCAGAGGAAGAAGACGAGGUGGCGGCCGCGGGGAGGGGGCUGCGCGGGGAGUCUCCUCAGAGCAGUCCCAAGCUCCUGCCCGCCGGCCGCGCACCGGGGCGGCCCUGCGGCUGCGGCGGGGCUGAUAACGCCCUUUGCUCUGCCUGUACUUCAUACAGCUGACCGGGAGCAAGCACCGCGGUUCCCGGGCGCGGGGGGAAGAAGCGGUGAAACCGGCCGCCGCAGCCUGGGGACAGGCAAGGGGGAGCCCGCCGGUGCUGCUGCUAAUAAAGUCACGCUCUGCAAGUAA